CUGGAGAUCCCUGUUUACCUGAGGCCUUCUGAAGGUAUCAUUAGCUGAUGACAUUGCCUAUGAGCAUCAAAGAGAGAGAGAGGAUCCUCGCUCCAAAGCCUCGCUCCGUCAGCCCUUCCCUGGCAUAUCCACUACAACCCUUUACAGACUGUGUUUAGCCAAUACAUCAAAAUCCAUAAACUUGCCAUAACUUGAGUCAGCACCACGCCAUGCCCCCCCUGUGUCCUGGUUCCAGCCCAGUGAAACUCGGGAGCUAAAAAUUAAUGGAGGAGACCCAAAGAUGCCAGAAAAGUUGUUGUUCUGAAUAUGGGAACAAGAUAUAUGACCUUCCUGUUGUCUUCGGGAAUGACAGACUGGUGAAGUAUGCUAAUGGAGCAUCAGAAAGGUGCUAUGCGAGCUAUUAACCCAGAAAAUAAAAAAGUGUUAUCUGCAUCUUAAUGUUAUGGAUGAUAGCAGCCUUUGAAGAUGAUUUUAAAAAACAAGUUUUUGAAGUUUUGCUACUUUAUUGUAAUGGAUGACUUCACAAUAGAGUCACAGCUGUAGCAAU